rnacentral:rRNA from 1 species
AUUGAACGCUGGCGGCAUGCUUUACACAUGCAAGUCGAACGGCAGCGCGGGGCAACCUGGCGGCGAGUGGCGAACGGGGGAGUAAUAUAUCGGAACGUACCCAAGAGUGGGGGAUAACGUAGCGAAAGUUACGCUAAUACCGCAUACGAUCUAAGGAUGAAAGUGGGGGAUCGCAAGACCUCAUGCUCCUGGAGCGGCCGAUAUCUGGUUAGCUAGUUGGUGAGGUAAAGGCUCACCAAGGCGACGAUCAGUAGCUGGUCUGAGAGGACGACCAGCCACACUGGGACUGAGACACGGCCCAGACUCCUACGGGAGGCAGCAGUGGGGAAUUUUGGACAAUGGGCGCAAGCCUGAUCCAGCAAUGCCGCGUGAGUGAAGAAGGCCUUCGGGUUGUAAAGCUCUUUUGUCAGGGAAGAAACGGCUGAGGAUAAUACCUUCGGCUAAUGACGGUACCUGAAGAAUAAGCACCGGCUAACUACGUGCCAGCCGCCGCCGUAA